rnacentral:rRNA from 1 species
AUUGAACGCUGGCGGCAGGCCUAACACAUGCAAGUCGAGCGGUAGAGAGGAGCUUGCUUCUCUUGAGAGCGGCGGACGGGUGAGUAAUGCCUAGGAAUCUGCCUAGUGGUGGGGGAUAACGUUCGGAAACGGACGCUAAUACCGCAUACGUCCUACGGGAGAAAGCGGGGGACCUUCGGGCCUCGCGCCAUUAGAUGGGCCUAGGUCGGAUUAGCUAGUUGGUGAGGUAACGGCUCACCAAGGCGACGAUCCGUAACUGGUCUGAGAGGUUGAUGAGUCAGACUGGAACUGAGACAGGGUCCCGACCCCUACGCGAGGCAUCAGUGAGGAAUAUUGCGCAAUGGGCGAAAGCCUCAUCCAGCCAUGCCGCGUGUGUGAAGAAGGUCUUCGGAUUGUAAAGCACUUUAAGUUGGGAGGAAGGGUAGUAACUGAAUACGUUGCUACUUUGACGUUACCGACAGAAUAAGCACCGGCUAACUUCGUGCCAGCCGCCGCGGUAAAAC